rnacentral:rRNA from 1 species
UAAGGAAUAUUGGUCAAUGGACGCAAGUCUGAACCAGCCAUGCCGCGUGAAGGAUUAAGGUCCUCUGGAUUGUAAACUUCUUUUAUCUGGGACGAAAAAAGGCGAUUCUUCGUCACUUGACGGUACCAGAUGAAUAAGCACCGGCUAACCCCGUGCCAGCAGCCGCGGUAAUACGGAGGGUGCAAGCGUUAUCCGGAUUCACUGGGUUUAAAGGGUGCGUAGGCGGGCAGGUAAGUCAGUGGUGAAAUCCUAGAGCUUAACUCUAGAACUGCCAUUGAUACUAUCUGUCUUGAAUAUUGUGGAGGUAAGCGGAAUAUGUCAUGUAGCGGUGAAAUGCUUAGAUAUGACAUAGAACACCUAUUGCGAAGGCAGCUUACUACGCAUAUAUUGACGCUGAGGCACGAAAGCGUGGGGAUCAAACAGGAUUAGAUACCCUGGUAGUCCACGCCCUAAACGAUGAUUACCCGACAUUUGUGAUACACUAUAAGUGUCUGAGCGAAAAGCAUUAAGUAAUCCACCUGGGAAGUACGACCGCAAGGUUGAAAACUUAAAGGAAUUGACGGGGG